GGCGGGGGAGGCGGUGAGGAGGAAGGCGAGAUGGGAAAGAGGGGAAGAGUAGGAUGAAGGGGGAGGAAGGGAAGGGAUAGGAAAUGUCUGAAGGGUAGUGGAAGAGGAAGGAAGAGAUGGGGAGGAAGAGUAGGAGGAAGGGGGAGGAAGGGAAGGGAUAGGAAAUGUCUGAAGGGUAGUGGAAGAGGAAGGAAGAGAUAGGGAGGAAGGCUUGGGGAAAAGAAAAGGGGACUCGAGGAUAAUAGGACCCAAAAGGGAGGGUUGAAAAGGAUAGAAAGGGAAAAAGAAGAUGCCGAAAGAGAGAGGGGAAAGUUUGAAGGGUUAAGAAAUGGUAUGUGGAGAAAAAGAAAGGGGGAGGGGGGUAGGAAACACGAGAAAUGGGAGGUAGAAAAUGAAGAAAGGGAAAAAGAAGAGGCCGAUGAGUUUGGAAAAGGUGUGAAGGAUAGGAAGAAGGGGACAAGAAGAGGAAUAUAGAAGGACAAGUAAGGCAGAAAAGGACAGAAAGGGAGAAAGAAAGGGAGAAAGAAGGGGCUGAUGAGUUUAGAAAGGGCGUGAAGGAUAGGAAGAAGAGGACAAGGGAAGGGAUAUGGGAAGUUAAGUAAGGUAUAGAAAGGGAUAGAAAGGGAGAAAGAAGGGGUUGAUGGGUUUAGACAGGGCGUGAAGAAUAGGAAGAAGGGGACAAGGAAAGGGAUAUAGGAAGUUAAGUAAUGUAUAGAAAGGGAUAGAAAGGGA